GGGGUAUGCAGUUGCCAUGAAACAAACUUAGUCUAAUGCUCUUGGACCUUUUCCUUCUAAUUAGAGAUCAGAGACUGAUUAGAAAAGUCUUUGAACUGCAUCCAUUUAACAGUGAUGUGUGUCAAGGAAAUGGAGCAUAUAUUAUAUUAGUCAACAACAGAAUUGAGAGACCCCAUCCAGGAGGAAAUAAAUUGUUACAGAUGAAUAUGGUUCUUACCCCCCAUUUUGUGGUAUAGACUGUGUUCCAACAAAAUUUGCAAUGAAGUGAUAAUUGCUAAAAUACUACUGUUCAAGAGUCCUGCAAGGUCCACUGUGAAAGGAUUAAAACGUCUGGACCAGGAGGUGGAAAAGCUUGUUUGAGGGGGUGAUAUUAGUAUUGGGUCUUCAAUGGCAGAACUUUACUAAUAAGAAUAAUAAGUAAAGGAAGGGAAAAGUCUGAAAGACUUGAGAAACAGCAUGGUUGGGACACUAUAGCAGGGUCCAGGAUAAUUGGAACAUGGUGAUGUGGCUUGGUAGGUCAUGAGGCCAGAAAGGUGAUCUAGAAAGUGAUUUGGCCAGAUCAGUUGAUUUUCCACGUGUGAUUAGGGAAGAAGCACUGAACAUUGAAUUGUCCCCUCUUGGAAUUCUUAUUGUUUUUAACAGUCUUCCCAUAUUCAUGCUGCCACUCUCCUCUGAGAAAGUCUUUUUUAAAAUAAUUAUUGAGCCAUAUUAAUUUUACCAAAUAAUAGGUUUCAAUGUGACAUUUCCAAAUAUGCAUAUAUUGUGGUUUAAUCAGAUCCACCCUCCCUAUCUUGCUCAGGAAGUCUUUAUGUAUUAAUUUAUUCUUUGAGCAUACUUCAUUCCCCCACCAGAGUUCAAGUUCCUCAGGACAGGAACUCUUUCUUCCUCUUCUAGCUACGUAUAGGUCAGGCUAUUAUUUGGUACUAAGAAUUUGAUACAGGUAUGCCUGAGGAAUGUUAGAGGAGGCAGCAACAAACAAACAA
rnacentral:lncRNA from 1 species